rnacentral:rRNA from 1 species
CCUACGGGAGGCAGCAGUGAGGAAUAUUGGUCAAUGGCCGAGAGGCUGAACCAGCCAAGUCGCGUGAGGGAAGACGGCCCUACGGGUUGUAAACCUCUUUUGUCGGGGAGCAAAGCGAACCACGUGUGGUUCAUUGAGAGUACGCGAAGAAAAAGCAUCGGCAAACUCCGUGCCAGCAGCCGCGGUAAGACGGAGGAUGCGGUCGUAAUCCGGAUUGAUUGGGUUUAAAGGGUGCGCAGGCGGGGGUGCAAGUCAGCGGUCAAAUUGCGGGGCUCAACCCCGUACUGCCGUUGAAACUGCAUCCCUUGAGUGCGCGAGAAGUAUGCGGAAUGCGUGGUGUAGCGGUGAAAUGCAUAGAUAUCACGCAGAACUCCGAUUGCGAAGGCAGCAUACCGG